GAUGAAGAACGCAGCGAAACGCGAUAUGUAAUGUGAAUUGCAGAAUUCAGUGAAUCAUCGAAUCUUUGAACGCACAUGGCGCCUUCCAGUAUCCUGGGAGGCAUGCCUGUCCGAGCGUCGUUUCAACCCUCGAGCCCUCGUGGCCCGGCGUUGGGGAUCUGCCACGGCAGGCCCCGAAAUACAGUGGCGGACCCGUUAGGCCCUUCCUUUGCGUAGUAGCAUCAGCCUCGCAUCGGGAGCCGGCGGGCUCUCCUGCCUUUAAACCCCCCAACAAGCCCGCUCCGGCGGCACCAAGGUUGACCUCGGAUCAGGUAGGAAUACCCGCUGAACUUAAGCAUAUCAAUAAGCGGAGGA
rnacentral:misc_RNA from 1 species